rnacentral:rRNA from 1 species
UACGGGGGGGGCAAGCGUUGUUCGGAAUUACUGGGCGUAAAGGGCUCGUAGGCGGUCUGUCGCGUCUGCUGUGAAAACUCGGGGCUUAACCCCGGGCCUGCAGUGGGUACGGGCAGACUAGAGUGCGGUAGGGGAGACUGGAAUUCCUGGUGUAGCGGUGAAAUGCGCAGAUAUCAGGAGGAACACCGGUGGCGAAGGCGGGUCUCUGGGCCGUAACUGACGCUGAGGAGCGAAAGCAUGGGGAGCGAACAGG